CGUAGCGUUUCGUCACGGCCUUCGCCGCCGCGUCGUCCGGCGACGCCGACGACGUGUCCACCGCGAGUUCCAUCCCCGCGGCCACCGUCUGCGUGGUGGUGUUAGUAGCCGCCAUUCUCGGAGCUAAAACAAAAGAAGAAGCGGUCACGUUGGCGAAAUUGUGGAGCUUUCCGGGGAUUUCAAUAAGGCAAUACGACGGCGUAUUGGUGGCAUUCGGCCGGAGAAAGCCGCGUGCUUGGGCUUGGGCUUGGUCUUGGGCCGGUCUCCAUUACCCGACCCGGCGAUCUGAACACUCUAGCUUCUUCUUCGUCUUCUUCUUUGGUGGACUGAGACUGGCGGCUCGGGUUUCUGAGUAGAGCUGUGUUGGCUAUGAGAGUCUGGUUUGUUUUUUCAGAGAAAAAAAAUAGGGACAGAAGUGAGAGAGGGAGAGAGAAAGAUGGUUAUGUAGGUUGUAGGUCUUUCAGUGGGAGUCAGUAGUAGUCCACGCACCUGCACGCGCCACCGUUCAGCGAGUGAGGAGACACGGCCUGGUUUUGUUGAUGGAAUUGGAAACUACGACCGUUGGUGGUGACCGUGAGGUAAUAUUUAAUAAUGCCACUACUCAACAGUCUCGCACGGACGGAAACAGUUCCUCCUGACAUCGCUCAUCACCCGCUCCUCAUUGGAGCGUGAGGCGCACGUGCCUUUAAAGGUGACG
rnacentral:lncRNA from 1 species